rnacentral:rRNA from 1 species
CGGAGAGUUUGAUCCUGGCUCAGAUUGAACGCUGGCGGCAGGCCUAACACAUGCAAGUCGAGCGGUAGAGAGAAGCUUGCUUCUCUUGAGAGCGGCGGACGGGUGAGUAAUGCCUAGGAAUCUGCCUGGUAGUGGGGGAUAACGUUCGGAAACGGACGCUAAUACCGCAUACGUCCUACGGGAGAAAGCAGGGGACCUUCGGGCCUUGCGCUAUCAGAUGAGCCUAGGUCGGAUUAGCUAGUUGGUGGGGUAAUGGCUCACCAAGGCGACGAUCCGUAACUGGUCUGAGAGGAUGAUCAGUCACACUGGAACUGAGACACGGUCCAGACUCCUACGGGAGGCAGCAGUGGGGAAUAUUGGACAAUGGGCGAAAGCCUGAUCCAGCCAUGCCGCGUGUGUGAAGAAGGUCUUCGGAUUGUAAAGCACUUUAAGUUGGGAGGAAGGGCAGUUACCUAAUACGUAAUUGUUUUGACGUUACCGACAGAAUAAGCACCGGCUAACUCUGUGCCAGCAGCCGCGGUAAUACAGAGGGUGCAAGCGUUAAUCGGAAUUACUGGGCGUAAAGCGCGCGUAGGUGGUUUGUUAAGUUGGAUGUGAAAUCCCCGGGCUCAACCUGGGAAUCUGCAUUCAAAACUGACUGACU